rnacentral:rRNA from 1 species
CUCCGACUCCUCGCAUGGGGUGUCGGGAAAGAUUUCAUCGGUAUGGGAUGGGGUCGCGUCCUAUCAGGUAGUCGGCGGGGUAACGGCCCACCGAGCCUACGACGGGUAGCCGGCCUGAGAGGGCGACCGGCCACAUUGGGACUGAGAUACGGCCCAGACUCCUACGGGAGGCAGCAGUGGGGAAUAUUGCACAAUGGGCGCAAGCCUGAUGCAGCGACGCCGCGUGCGGGAUGACGGCCUUCGGGUUGUAAACCGCUUUUGAUCGGGAGCAAGCCUUCGGGUGAGUGUACCUUUCGAAUAAGCACCGGCUAACUACGUGCCAGCAGCCGCGGUAAUACGUAGGGUGCAAGCGUUAUCCGGAAUUAUUGGGCGUAAAGGGCUCGUAGGCGGUUCGUCGCGUCCGGUGUGAAAGUCCAUCGCUUAACGGUGGAUCUGCGCCGGGUACGGGCGGG